CGAUCAUUAUUUCCUUCCAUCUCCUUUCCUUUCCUCUAUCACCGCUAGGUUUCUUCCAUCUCCUUUCCUUUCCUCUAUCACCGCUAGGUUUCCUCUCUCCCACCCCUUCUUUCCUUUCGUAUUUGUAGCGCACCAGGUUCUUCCCUCUUCGCAGUAAGCAAGGAGUUCAAAGGUAACCCUAUAUCUUAUUUCUUCCCUCUCCGCAGCACCGUGAGUAACCUUGCCAGGCGAUGAGAGGAUGCUUUAGGUGCGGCCACACUCAAGGGGGUCGCAGCCUCUCUAGACCACUAGUUUACUAGCGGUCGAUUUGCGAAUGGCUGCACGCGAGGGGGUCGAUGCCUCAUGAGGCAGCUCAUUCACAAACGGUUGCACACGAGGGGGUCUAAGCAGUGGCCUGUAGCGAGGUAACGACAUCGUUAUCUGCUUCUGAAACUCUCGUGUUUUUCCAUCUCCAUAUACUGGUAAGCUUUUCAAGAAGAUGGAAUUGCACAAGCUAGCAGAUAUGCUACUGAGGAUUCAAUUAAGUCAUGGCUUAAUGAAUUACUUUGCUUGGAUGUUGUAAGUUACAUUCCAAAUAUCACUAUGUUAGUAUUCUUGAUGAAAAGUAAAUAAUUGUUUUUCAGGUCAUUCUCUAAAUGAUCUUUUAUUUGUCUAGACUUCCACAUCCAAGUGAAUGUGCCCUUUACUAUGUCAACCGAGAUAUACUUUUCUAAUAUCACAAGGAGAGUGAGAUAUGUUUAUAGGUACUUUUAUUUGGUUAAAUUUGUGCUAUUUUUUCAUUUAUAUUACAGGGCAUGAUUUCCCUUUAUGCUGCUUCUCACUACAAAAAGUCACCUAAUGACUUACAAGUUACAAUUGAUGGUUUGUCUCUCCAUUUUGGAAUUCAAUGAUAUUUUUUCUCCUCAUAGAGAGAAGACUACACUUGAGCAUGAGCCUAGCUUAUUUAUUGGUUCUUUGCCUUGAAGGUUAAAGAUUGUAAGAUCCUUUUUUUGGAAAGACUGGCAAACUACUGAAGGAGGCAGAUAAAGAAAUUGGUCAUCAGAAAAUGAUUACCUCCAUAUCAAAAUCUACAUAUGGCUCUCAUUUUCUAUCAGGUUCAUCAGAUAAGUUUGCCAAGUUUUCACUGGAUUUUGACUAUCAUCAAUGUUGAGAAGGAGAUUAGAAGGAGCAAAUUACUUGGUGGAUAGAGUGCCUCAAUUGACAAUAUGGUGGUUCGCAGAAUCUGGAGUGUGGACAAUCUGUUAAGGUUGUCUUUAAUCAGAUUUCGAUUGUGCUACUAGAGAUUCAUAAAUGAAUAUUUAUCAAUCUAAUCAGCUGGUUUGGCUUAAGAAUAAGAUCAGUAAUAGCCAACCAAAGUCUAGUAAAAAUGCCCUCAAAAGUAACUAGAGUGACCGAAAAGAGGGAAUUAGAAUUGGAGAAAGAGAUGGAGAUUAUUAAGGAUAUCAAUGUAUAUAUUAGUCUCUUUCUCUCUUUCCUAACAACUUAGCUUUUAGGAUAAAUAGUCAGCCAAUCAAAUUUGAGAGAAAAAGAGAGGAGAACCUUCACUAGUGCAAUUGGCGACCAUGCACCACUCUUGUUGUCCGCUGUGCUGUAAGGCAGAGUUGACGGAUGUAAGUGAGAUAUGUUAGGAUCUUUAUGUUCUUGAAUUUGGGAUCGUUUCCAAGGUUUUUCUGAAGUAAAAUUGCUGCUUAGGAUCUCAGCGUCCUAUCAUAAUCGAUGUUUCUGAGUUUUGUGACCUAGUGCCCUAUGAUUACAGUAAUUGGCUAGUUUGCAUCAAAAAAAUUCCCUGCUCUUGAUAAGAAAGAAGACCAUUAAAUAGCUUCCUGAUUGUGAAUACUUCAUUACUUGUAAAUUAACCAGAUAUACACUUUUCAGUUGAUCUGUUAUAGUAAAAGCCAAUAAUAGAAACUACUUAACCAUCCAAAUCUCCUGUACAGAGAUUUAGACCCCCAUCUUCAUGCACAUGGCUAACUGUACUGAUGAUGUAACAUAGAAAUAGGUAAUUUGCUGCAGUUCCACUUAAUUAACACUUUCACUGCAUAUCAACCCACCUUGUGUUUGCCUGCUUCAUUGAUUGCGUGGUGAUGGUGAAUUUUAUAGCUUUUGCUGCUUAUUGUAUUAUGUCUAUUAGCCAUGUGUAUACA